rnacentral:SRP_RNA from 1 species
GCUGGGUGUGGUGGCGCACACCUGUAAUCCCAGCUACUUGGGAAGCUGAGGCAGGAGAAUCACUUGAACCCGGGAAGUGGUGAUUGUAGUCAGCUGAGAUCGGGCCACUACACUCCAGCCUGGGCAACAGAGAGAGACUCCGUCUCAA